rnacentral:rRNA from 1 species
CCUACGGGCGGCAGCAGUGGGGGAUAUUGCACAAUGGGGGAAACCCUGAUGCAGCGACGCCGCGUGGGCGAAGAAGUAUUUCGGUAUGUAAAGCCCUAUCAGCAGGGAAGAAGAAAUGACGGUACCUGAGUAAGAAGCACCGGCCAAAUACGUGCCAGCAGCCGCGGUAAUACGUAUGGUGCAAGCGUUAUCCGGAUUUACUGGGUGUAAAGGGAGCGCAGGCGGCACGGCAAGCCUGAUGUGAAAGCCCGGGGCCCAACCCCGGGACUGCCUUGGGAACUAGCGGGCUGGAGUGCCGGAGAGGUAGGCGGAAUGCCUAGUGUAGCGGUGAAAUGCGUAGAUAUUAGGAGGAACACCAGUGGCGAAGGCGGCCUACUGGACGGUAACUGACGCUGAGGCUCGAAAGCGUGGGGAGCAAACAGGAUUAGAUACCCCUGUAGUC